UCCUAGGAUAUUGAAGAGGAAUAAAUUGAUAUUUCGUUCCUUCACAGAGAAAGGUUUAUUCAAAGUCAAAAUUAGAUUUGAUAAAUAGCAAUGCAAUGAAUUGUUUCAAGGCUGACCCUAAUUAAUUAAUAAAUUGACUCCCAUUAAAUUCGGAGUUGUUAGUUACUUCGUCUGGAUGAAUCUUAGUGAUGGAAUAAUUAAGUCAUAAUUCAUUAGAUGAAUGUAUCAUUAACUAUUUUUUUUUGUGAGGAACUUAUCAUGAAUCCACUGAUUUCUGCCGCUUCUGUUAUUGCUGCUGGGUUAGCUGUCGGGCUUGCUUCUAUUGGACCUGGAGUUGGUCAAGGUACUGCUGCGGGCCAAGCUGUAGAAGGCACAUAUUGUGUUUUCUGGCUUGUGCUUCUUGGCAGCUAUCUGGCAUUGGGUGUAUUGGGAUUUAGAAAUAUUUUGUGAUGAGCAUACAGGAAAACCUUCUUUGGAUUUGCCAAAAUUUUUUGGAAUUCCAUUAGGAACCGCAGAUUUUUUGGUACAUCACAUUCAUGCAUUUACGAUUCAUGUAACAGUAUUGAUACUCCUGAAAGGUGUUCUAUUUGCUCGUAGCUCUCGUUUGAUAGUCUUUGCAGCCUUAAUGCUUUUUGCUGGUUGGUUCCAUUAUCACAAAGCUGCUCCAAAAUUGGCCUGAUUUUACAGAUUCGAAAUGAGAAACUGUCAUCCCAGUCAACUGAAUUGGGAUGCCCCAGAUCUAACAUGUCUCGUGAAAGGAGUAACAUGAAGCUCAGAAGGGCUAACCUCUUCCUAUAGGAGCUUCUUUCUGUUUUUUUCCGGUAUGCCGCUCCGCGAGCAAGGAGCGCCACGCACGAGCGGAGCGAAAACAAAGCAAGAGGAAUUCUUCGUUGGGGGAAAUCCUUUGAUUGCAUAUUGAAUAAGUUCAGGGUUCCAAACUCAACGGUGGCAACUAAACUCAACUAGGACAGAAAUAAAGCAUUGGGUCGAACUCUUCUUUGGUGUCAAGGUAAAAGCUAUGAAUAGUCAUCGACUCCCGGGAAAGGGUAGAAGAAUGGGACCUAUUCUGGGACAUACAAUGCAUUACAGAAGAAAGUAGAAGCAUGGUCUCUGUUCAGCUGCUCAAUUCUCUUUCGAAAUUAGGCUAGGCUCGUAUUCAAGGUAUGGAACCUCCUUUCUUCACCCCAACUUCAGGGAUGAAUCGAAAAAGAAAUCUUUAUUGGUUCUACCUCCUCUUUUUUAUGAAGAGAAUGAAUCUUUAGAAUAAGCUAAACCUCUUUUAAUAUCUUUUUGAGCAAUAAACAGCUCGUCUCGCCGUGACCUUCUCUUGAAUUCUCAAAACUUCUGUCGCUCCAUCCCCGCAGGGGCAGAGAACCCGUCGCUGUCUCGGCUAUUACUAUCUCGAACUAAAAAGGUGUCAUCAGAGAUAAAAUUACGUCUCCCACUCCAGUCGUUGCUUUUCUUUCUGUUACUUCGACGCCCACAAUCGGCCCAAAAGGGGAAGGACCUUUCCCUAUGGGAGUAGGAAAAUCAUGAUCGGGAUAGCGGACCCAAGGCUAUGGAACUUGGGUGUGGGUCUUUUGUCGAAAUUACCAUGGUUGGGAACUAAUGAUUGGCUAUGUCUACAAAGAUUUUGGAUUUGCUCACAACGAUCAAGUCGCCAAUCCCUAAAACGGACUAUGGAAUGUACUUUAUCUGCUGGGUUACGUUACGGGCGGCUUUUUCUUUUUAUUCAUUUAUCAUUUAAUUUAGUUCAGUUUUAUUUUAGGUUUAUGAAAUUUCAAAAAUAAAGGAGUCUUUAUGUCGCAUUACCGAGGGUCUCGUUUCAAAAAAAUACGCCGUCUUGGGGCUUUACCAGGACUAACGAAUUUGUGGCGUCAACCUAUAGGGUUUUUCAUUUUUCUUAUAUCUUCGUUCUCUUUCUGUCGAACGAAGAUUCAUUUGGUCUUGAUCCUUGUAGAGUGAAAAAGGCCUGAUCUUAGGCCCUGACUCACCCUCCGUGGAAGAACCUUGCGGAGGAACCCUUAGGUUUUCGGGGCAUUGGAUUCUCACCAAUGUUUGCGUUACUGCAGCGGGUGCUGUAGCGAAACUGAUUGCAAAAGAGGGGAAAUCGGCCACAUUAAAAUUACCUUAUGGGGAGGUCCGUUUGAUGAAUUUUAUCAUCCCGGAGAUAUCAAAAGAAAAAAGGGGUUUGCCUAUUCUGUCCAAAAAAAGAGGGCUAUUAGCUCAGUGGUAGAGCGCGCCCCUGAUGCUUAUGGACCCGAACUUGGGUGAUCUAUCCAUGACCAGGAUGAAGCUUGGGUGAAACUAAGUGGAGGUCCGAACCGACUGAUGUUGAAGAAUUAGCGGAUGAGUUGUGGUUAGGGGUGAAAUGCCACUCGAACCCAAAGACAAAAACCCGUCCUCAGUUCGGAUUGCAGGCUGCAACUCGCCUGCAUGAAGCCGGAAUCGCUAGUAAUCGCCGGUUAGCCAUACGGCGGUGAAUUCGAAUCAACCGUUU
rnacentral:lncRNA from 1 species